CUUUGUGCUCACGUGGCUGCCUAUUUUCCACUAACCUGAAGCAGCUGACUUGGUCAAACGUUGGAAUGGAAGGCUCAAUUACAUCAUUUACAUUGCGAUACCUUGCCUGGUUGGAUCAAGAUCCUCCAAAAGGAUUUAUAUGCUCUUAAUUGGUGUCCAAUAUAAGGUGCUGCUUUCCUAUAACUAAAUUCAUGGGCCCAAGAAUCAAUUAUAGAAACAGGAGUGGCAUCCCUACUGAGCAACCAGCAAAACUUUUGCUUUUGGUCCCUGUGACCUUAUUCUCUGCUGGCCUAGAAGAUUUUUUCCAAAUGGGAAAAUUCUUCCACAGGACACACAACAGUGAUUCCAUUGAACCAGAAGUUAAGACUUCCACCAAGCCCUUUGGACCUCUUCAUGCCUCUGAAUCAGUAGGCAAAGAGGGGAAUUUUUGUACUAGCUGGAGUUGUUGAUCCUAGCUGCUACUCCACAAUGGAGCUAAAGGAGAAUGUGUGGGGAAUACCCUACCCAUAAAGCAUGUCUUACCAUUACCAUGUCCUGUGAUUCAGAUCAAUGGAAAACUACAACAACCCAAUAUAGAAAGGACUACUAAUGCCCCAUCACCUUCAGGAAUGAAGAUUUAGGUUGUCCUACCAAUGACAGACCCAUGACUAGCUGAGAUAAUUAUUGACAAAAAAAGGAAUUUAUUUAUUUAUUUAUUUUUGGUACCAGGGAUCAAACUCGGGACCUUGUGCUCACAAGGCAGGUGGCAGCACCACUGAGCUAAAUCACUGGGAUGAAAAAAGGAAUUUUAGAAUAGAUAGUAGAAGAAGUUUCUAGGUGAAACCAUCUCCUCCAGUUUCAGACACUUAUGGGUCAUUGUCAUCAUCACCACAUUUGCACUGAAGAGCCGUCAACACUCUAUUUUCAAGCACAUGAGCUUUUAAGAAGCCUGUGUCCCCAGAUAAAUCUGAAAGAGAACUUGGUAACUAUGAUAUCGAUUGGGAUAUGAUGAGUUCACAGUAUUUCAACUUCUUCCACAGUUAUUUCACAAAAACAGGUGCGCAGUGUUAGGAUUGGUGGCGCUCUUCCGACAAAGUCACGUGGGAAAGGGAUACUGUCAAUGCCACUCUGCAGAGGUAGCAGGAAGCACUGCUUGCCACCAGCCACAGGAGCUCUCUCACUCUUAGAAAUGUUGUGGAGCUGCACAGAGGAAGAAUAUCAGUGUCAACAGAUGUGGUGAUCUACCAGUAGGACUCUUGGAACCCGUAACAAUGCAUAUGGAUCUCUUGGGUGGCCUUUUCUCCUGUCUCUGUGAAGCCAUUUCACAUCCUAGGCAAAAUUACAGACAAUGUUAACUGUUAUUUUCUAACUAAAAUUAUGUGGGUUGUUGGACAUUGAAUUUCGAUUGUAGUUUACCCACACUUCACUUUGGCCCCCGCACUGUACCUACUGUGAUAUUUUCUUUCUCAUGUUGAGUCCAGCCUGCAUUGCCUCCUUCAUAGUAAAAUCAGAGUUAAGGGGAGAAAUUAGUGAAUGUGCAACUGGGUCACAGCUUUAAACCUCAAGAAUUCAUACAAAUAAAUCACGCUGUUCUUCUAAGUUAAACUUUGUCUAAGUCUGUUGAUCCUCCAAAAUAACUUUCUAGACAAAAAAAAAUCCACUUUUGUCCUUAGGAAAAUUUUCUAAGCAGGUUCAUUGGUACUGCAGUGCUUACUGACACUGCAAAGGCAG
rnacentral:lncRNA from 1 species